CCAUUAUCCACCUCUUCAUAGCACGAUUCCGCUAAUGGCAUCCGAGAAAGAUACAUUUAAUGCAAAAUGGAUCGAUCAUUUCACCAAUCUCUUUAUAAGUUUGACGGAAGAAGAGGUAAAAAAGGGAAAUCGCAUCUCUUGUACCUUCAACAAAGCGGGGUGGAAUACCAUACUGGUUGAAUUCAAUACUCGGGCAGGACUCCAAUAUAAGCAAUCACAAUUGAAGAACAAGAUGAAAAAACUAAGAAGAUAGUUUGGAAGUUUUAAGGAGCUUUUGACACCAUUCAGAUUUGCUUGGGAUAAUGUAAAUAAAACAAUUGUUGUCGAUGAUCCAAGUAUAUGGGAAUAUCACAUCAAGGAUAAUAUUGAGUGGGCAAAUUUCAAGAAGGAUGGGAUUCCUUAGUGUUCCGAGCUGUCUAUUGUAUUUGGUGAUACAUACACUAAUGGCAAGCAAGAUAUAGGAAAUGUCUAAGAU